AAGGGCCCCGAGAAGGGCAGGCAUUGCCCACCAGCCGCAGACGUGGGUCGGGAGCUGGGUGCAAGGCCUCCAUCCCAGGGCUUCAGGUUCACAUGCAGGCUCCCCUGAGGCCGGCAGGUGACACCUGGACUUGUGUGGGCUGGAGCGCUGUGUCUCUUCCCUCCCUCCAUCCCCCCCUCCCCUCCUCUCCUCUGGCAGGACGGUUCAAAGUUUGGGGAGCUGGAGCUGGAAAGGAAUGUCCAAGAAGGGACAGAGAAGGAGGACGGGUGUUCUAGAAGCUUCUUUCCUGCUCGGAGAGCCCUGGUCCUGCCCAGAAUAAGCUCUGAUUCUCAGCAGGGUGAGCACAGGGGCCGUCGGUGCCGAGGAGACACGCAGUCAGGCAGGUGCCAUGAUUCGAGGAGCCCAGAGGAACGCCCCGCACCCCACUCCUGUGUGGAGCAGGACGCUGACCCCCAUUGUAUCUAGAACUGCUGAGGCAGAGGGUGACCCCCCUGUGCCCACUCGCAGCCACACCAGAAGGACGGGAACGCCUUUCUCGGGGACUGCCCAAGGCCACCUCGGCUGCGCUGUAGUUCAGGUAAUACACCAGUGAACGUAAGCAGUGUUUGCCUGAGUUCUGUGAGCAAAUCACUGAACCCAAGAAAGGGCUUGUGGGGACCCAAGUCAGAAGCGUGAGAGACCUGGGCUGGUGUGUGGAGCUGGGCAUCGUGGCACCAAGCCCUCAACUGCGGGAUGCGAUGCUAACUCCGUGUGGAUGGUAGCACACCCAGCCGGUGUCGGAGGAUUGGUUGCCGUGCGGAAAAACCCACACGCUUGGUGUCAGAAGUGUUUUUCAUCCUCCUGACGGCCAGUCUCUGCACAGCAGCCAGAGGAUGCACAAAGCAGAUCGGAUGCAGUCACGCCGAAUCUCAGAGACCUAGGAUGGUUCCCUCCCGACCUCCAGCAGAAUCAAGUCCCAACCUCUGCUUUACAGAAACGUAAGCUCAGGCAUGUGGGAUCUUAGCUCCCUGACCAGGGAUCGAACUGGUACCCCUGCAUUGGAAGGCGAAGUCUUAACCACUGGACUGCCAGGGAAUCCCUGAAGCACUGCAGGAAAGCAGGGCAGAUUCCUACUUCAUCUCUGCUGAAACUGGCCCCCAGCCUGCUCCCUUGUCCCUCCAGGAAGCCCCAGUUCAAGAAGGUGGUCCAGCCCUUCUCCCUAAACCCUCACUGAUAGAUCCUGCCCCCUAAACGAGGGUCAUCACUGCCCUUCUCCUACUGGUCCGCAAAGUGAUCACAGCCACGUCCCUCGUUUGAGGCUCAAACUGAAACCGUGGAUAAUGAGUCAAUCCAUUGCACCUGCCCUCACUAAUCAAGAUCAUUUUAAGACUUCAUGUCCUCCAAGCGGCAGGGAGCCUAAACAGUAAGCUGUUUGCCCGAGCUGUUUUCCAGCAGCUUGGAAGCUCAGCUGCCUCGAGCUUAGGCUGGGCCGGUUGAGACUGGAUAAGAGCACUGACCCGCAACUGGGCCUGCCCAAGCACCGGAGACCUGGUGACCUUGGGGAGGCCUGGCGCCUAGUUACGCCUGCGCAGAAGGACCAUUACGCACCUUUUCCUCAUCCCUUUCCCUGCGCCCUCCCCGCCCUGCCCACGCACCCCACGUGCCUCAAGCCCACCCCUAGCCUCAGCCC